ensembl:lncRNA
GCAGAAGCCACAGCUGUUUCCACCUGUUUAAUCAGUUGAGCUUGGCUUUCAGUAGACUCAGGUGUGGCUUCUGCUUGGUUGGAAUGAAAACCUGUACACACACUGGUCCUUUGUGGAUCUGAUUGGACACCCCUGAUCUAGCUAGUCUAGCUCACUCAUCUAGCUAUUGGCUUAUCUGUGCAUAUUUCCACAGGUUGAAUUUUGAGCAGUGAAGUACCAAUAUCUCCACAGGUUUUGGCUAACAUAAUUUGCAUAUCAUUAUCACUCUGUUUCCUUUGGAGCAUUUAAAACUGAAAAUACCUGAAAAAUUCCAUUGUCUCAGACAGUGCUCCAGGGUUAAAUUAGGUGUUUUUUUUGUUGUUGUUUUUUUUUAAAACUCUGUAACAGUGAUCGCAAAAAUAUGUAGUGAUGUUGAAUAUUUUAUUGGUUAAAGUAAUAGUACUAGUAGGGUUGUCAAGUCGGGUUUUUGCAAGCUCUGUACUAAUAUAUUUCUGUGGAGUGCAGCCCUCUUUGCUUCAGUCACAGACUAUAUUUUUGGAUCAGCUAAUUGAGUGGACAACAGGUUUCUUUUCAAGAGAGUCCCUUCUCCAAAUGACAGGGUUCUGAAGGAUUUGGGAACUGGUCAUGCAGAGAGAUCAGGGGAUUGGGAAUGUAUUUUCUGGCCUUGAUCCACAUUAUACUUGAACUUGCCCUGAAAGGCACAAGGUACAGCUUCCAGUCAUGUUAUGCGGUCACAGGGGAACCUGGAGCCUAUCCCAGGAAGCAUCGGGCACAAGGCGGGGUGCACCCUGGACACGGUGCCAGUCCAUCGCAGGGCACAAAUUUGUGUAAUUUCAUUCUGAAAUGCAAACUUUUUAAGAAAACUUGAGAACUUCCACAGAUACUGUCAUAAAAAAAAAGAGGUCGUUAGAAAUGAUAUAAUUUUGUAUCAUCCCUUUGUGCUAUUGUAGCUGUUUCAGUAGCUAGAUAAUAGCAAACUGAUCUAUAUAAAUCAGAAGAGCUGACAGUGCACAGAGAACCUUAAAAAAUAAAUAAAAAUAUAUAUCUUUACG